rnacentral:SRP_RNA from 1 species
UCGUGCUAGAUGGGGUGGUAGCGGUGCCCUAUAACCUGCAAUCCGCUAUAGCAGGGUUGAAUUCCUAUCUGAGACUAUGACUUUGUGGAGUCUGCCCUUGGUAAGUGGUGUUGAUGAUUGGGUCCUACGCAACGGAAAUUCAUGAACCCCGUCAGGUCCGGAAGGAAGCAGCGGUAAGUGAACCCUUCUUUGUGCCGUGGGCUAGCCUGAUUGGAGCUAACUGCCGAGGUA